ACAUACCCAAAGGUACGGAAUAGCCUCGGGAAACUGGGAGUAAUACCGUAUGUGCCCUUUAGCUGUAGUGGUUAGAGGGGAAAGAUUUAUCGCCUUUGGAUUGGCCCGCGUUGGAUUAGGUAGUUGGUGGGGUAAUGGCCUACCAAGCCGACGAUCCAUAGCUGGUUUGAGAGGAUGAUCAGCCACACUGGGACUGAGACACGGCCCAGACUCCUACGGGAGGCAGCAGUGGGGAAUCUUAGACAAUGGGCGCAAGCCUGAUCUAGCCAUGCCGCGUGAUCGAUGAAGGCCUUAGGGUUGUAAAGAUCUUUCAGAUGGGAAGAUAAUGACGGUACCAUCAGAAGAAGCCCCGGCUAACUCCGUGCCAGCAGCCGCGGUAAUACGGAGGGGGCUAGCGUUAUUCGGAAUUACUGGGCGUAAAGCGCACGUAGGCGGAUUAGCAAGUCAGAGGUGAAAUCCCAGGGCUCAACCUUGGAACGGCCUUUGAAACUGCUAGUCUUGAGUUCGAGAGAGGUGAGUGGAAUUCCGAGUGUAGAGGUGAAAUUCGUAGAUAUUCGGAGGAACACCAGUGGCGAAGGCGGCUCACUGGCUCGAUACUGACGCUGAGGUGCGAAAGCGUGGGGAGCAAACAG
rnacentral:rRNA from 1 species